rnacentral:rRNA from 1 species
ACGGGCUCUUCGGAGCUAGUGGCGGACGGGUGAGUAACGCGUGAGAAUCUGGCUUCAGGUUCGGGACAACAGUUGGAAACGGCUGCUAAUACCGGAUGUGCCUUAUGGUGAAAGAUUUAUCACCUGAAGAUGAGCUCGCGUCUGAUUAGCUAGUAGGUGUGGUAAGAGCGCACCUAGGCGACGAUCAGUAGCUGGUCUGAGAGGAUGAUCAGCCACACUGGGACUGAGACACGGCCCAGACUCCUACGGGAGGCAGCAGUGGGGAAUUUUCCGCAAUGGGCGAAAGCCUGACGGAGCAAUACCGCGUGAGGGAGGAAGGCUCUUGGGUUGUAAACCUCUUUUCUCAGGGAAGAAUGAUGACGGUACCUGAGGAAUAAGCAUCGGCUAACUCCGUGCCAGCAGCCGCGGUAAUACGGAGGAUGCAAGCGUUAUCCGGAAUGAUUGGGCGUAAAGCGUCCGCAGGUGGCAAUGUAAGUCUGCUGUCAAAGCGUCUGGCUCAACCAGAUAAAGGCAGUGGAAACUACAUAGCUAGAGUAAGGUAGGGGUAGAGGGAAUUCCUGGUGUAGCGGUGAAAUGCGUAGAGAUCAGGAAGAACACCGGUGGCGAAAGCGCUCUGCUGGACCUUAACUGACACUGAGGGACGAAAGCUAGGGGAGCGAAUGGGAUUAGAUACCCCAGUAGUCCUAGCCGUAAACGAUGGAUACUAGGCG